rnacentral:tRNA from 1 species
CAGGGAGACAACAAAAUGUUUAAUAUUAUUAUUUUGUCACCUUAGGUCGAUCGGUAUCUCACGUUUUUAAUUUAUUAAGAAUUUCAUUUCCUAAGUUUUUCUAGGUCACACCCAUUAUUUUUCCUGGGCCAUUAGCUCAGGUGGUUAGAGCGCACCCCUGAUAAGGGUGAGGUCCCUGGUUCAAGUCCAGGAUGGCCCAUUCGGUGUUGGGGGUUUAGCUCAGUUGGUAGAGCGCCUGCUUUGCAAGCAGGAUGUCAGGAGUUCGAGUCUCCUAACCUCCACUGACCGAACUUGAUUCCCAUCUCCAAUUUUUUGGAGUUGAGCUCGAUUGGAAUGUGAUUUAGAUGUGUCCGCUGGAUGACCCCAGCUUCCUGUCAUUCCAAGUUUUAGGUUGAUGCCUUGAAUUUGGUUGAUAAGAUGCUGGGCUCGGAUCAAAUGAUCAAAAAAUUGAUGAUUUGAUUUGAAGUUCUAGCAGAACCUUGACAACUGCAUAGGUGAGUCUGGAAAAAACAAAGCAUCUUACAGAUGCAUUGUUUUGAAUCUGAUCUUCUGAAAGGGAGAUUGGAUCUAGAACAAUGAAAAUUCUUUUGAGCAAGAGCCGAGACUCUUGAGCGUUCUUUGAUUGGUGUCGAGCCAAUCAGAGUUUGAUCUUGUUUUUAGCAAUAAAAACUUGAGAAUCUGCUUACAACGGCGGUAAGCGUUCAAGAGGUUAAUU